rnacentral:misc_RNA from 1 species
UAUUUAUCAAACAAAGCAUCCAUCUGUGGCAGAAAAGAAAAAUGCUCCGAAAUUGGAGUUUAUCAGGAAGGAUAUGCAAUGUACUUGGUGGUUAAAUAUCAAAGAAGGGCAAGGAUGCACAAAGAAAGAUAAAACAUUGUUGAUGGUUUGCAAACUGCGAGUACCAUUGGAAUGACAAACCAAAUCAUAAAAGCCCUAUUUGCUAAUGAUGACAACAUUUACAGUAGACAUUGCAAGCUGAUCAAUAUUUCUAUCGUUUAAAAUGCAACAUUGAUAAAUAGGCAGCUAUGUACAUAACUGGCAUCUGAAUAAUCUUCUGAAAAGCCAUCUUUCGAAUAUCUUGAUGGUCGAAUAAAGUUGUGCAGCUUCAUAGAAACCAAGGAGAGCAUCAACCACUGGUAUGAUCCUCUAUCCCUUCCUCAUUCUAUCAUCCAUCGCUUCAAAGACUUAACCAUUGCCUAAGCACUACUUUUCUUGCCUUCAGCUCCAAGAGCCCAGUGAGGCAUAGCACGAGUGCGCCUUAUUGCCUUCACUCCUAACGGGUUGUCCUUGCCCAUUAAGCAGGUUCCCUGGUUAACGUUGCAGAUGGGAUAGUCAUGUGGGCAGCAACUAUAAUGGUCAUCACAGCAGGUAGCACCCUCAAGUGGGCAGCAUCCCCAUUCAAAACAGAAGUUGGCAUACUCAAAGAUGCAGCAACAAGUGUUGCUCUCAGGACAGCUAAAGUAGUUGUCACAAACGCUAGGAGGCUUUACAGGAGAUGGAGGAGAUGGACCAGGGUUGGGGGGAUUUUGGCCUUUCUUGAUAGGGUAAGAAGCCUCCAUCGCAAUUCCACAUAUCCCUGUUGGCUUCCUAAUAUUUCGAGCCAUCCUGAGAUAGCCACUCUCUCCCCAGCUUUUACCCCACGAGUUCCUGACAAUCCAAUAAUCUUGUCCAUUUUCUGUGCCAUAACCCACUGCAACAACACCAUGGUCCAGUGCCGUCCCACAUCUUCCCGAAAAAACGCCCGAUGAGUACAACUGGAAAUCCCUGCCACCUGCUUCAAUUGCAACACUCACUGGCUGAUUUGCGACAGCCUUCUGUAGUGCCGCCUCAUUAUUCACAGGAACAUCUUCAUAACUAUCAAUUGAAACAACCCUUGCAUUUUUCCUGUAUGUGUCGCAUCUGCCAUCACGAGCAAGAUAAGGGUAAUCUUCUUCAGAGUCAAUGCCACCAUUGUUGAUGAUAAACUCAAAGCCAUAGUCCAUGAGACCUCCAUUACAUCCUUCAUUAUAAGAGUUAUCACAAUCCACCAAUUCCUGCUCAGAUAGAGAGAUCAGGUCGCCAGUAACGAUCUUGUUGAUCCCUUCCACAGCAGCAACGGCUGAGAAAGCCCAGCAGCUCCCUUCAUAUCAAAAGUUGAAUGUCAGCAAUUUGCGCAUAUUACAAAGAUUUGUUUUUAUUAAUAAGAACUAGUAUUACAGUUCAAACCUUUCAAAUGCUUAAACUUGUAUCCUUUCUCCAAGCUUCUAGCUAUAGUCAGAGUUUGUCAUAAUAUUGAUUGAUUAAUCAAAGAAUAAGAAAUAUCUAGGUGUGAGGUGCGACUAAGAAAUAUCUCAGGUGUGAGGUGUCACUCCCAAUUAUUGAUGUUAUGUUAAUUAUAAUGCUUAGGCUUGGGUUUGGUGGGUUCAGAAAUUUCCCAUGGGUGCUUUUCACCCUUCAGAACUAAAGGCCAAACCUUUUGCACCCCAUAUUGAUUUGGCCAUAGGAGUGAGGUGCCAGACCAUUUGCACUGCCUUAUGUUGGAAGUAAGUAAAGUUCCACUCUAUUAUCAGUUGUAAUUGGCACUUUUUUAUCACCCAAAAAGGCCGUCCACCGAAAGGAAACCAACAUAGAAUUUCUUCAAUUAUCCAAACAAAUAUUGCUUUUUUAUUUUAGAUCAAUUUCACAUCAAUAUCCCCAAACUAUCUGAUCAAAGCAACUUAACCUUAUUUCAGAUUUUCCAGAAUAUUACCUGCUAAUUUUUUUUUCUUAUUAAGCAGUGAGCUGGUGACACUAAUUAAUAAACAAUAUUUGUUAAAAAAUAAUUAAAAUCAAAUUAAAUUUUGAUAAAUUAUUCAUAAACAAGACUCACCACAACUUCCUUGGUCUUUGACACCGACGACGGCACCUUCCUUUCUCCAAUCAACGGAAUCCGGCAAAGAAUCGCCGACACGUGGAGUGUAGCGAUCACUAAUUUUACGCAACUUGUUCCUUCUAAUACCACUCAAAGCACCUAAAUACAUGGACCGGUA